AGGAGGAGCUGGCAUUCCCUGGGAGCUCCCAGCCAAUAUGGAGCCUCCAAACGAGGCUGCAGGAAGAGCCUGCUGCGGGCUAGCGACGGAGGGCUCGGAGAGGUCAGCCGCACGUCUGCCAGGACUGCCCUGCCCUAGAUUAAAGAUGUCUUCUCUUAUGUAACACUUUCUGAAAACACCGCUUCCCAGGCAAACCUCAGCUGUGAUCCGAACAGGCUCCUAUUGACUGAGAGCAAAGCCUGGGAUGACUAAGGUGCAUUGUAAUAAUGGGCCUCCAUGCCGGAGGAUUAGCAUGUAACAUUCAGAAAUCAUUACACAACCCUCACAUAGCGAGCCUUCAAUCAGCCAGGGCAGUUGGGUCAACGAAUGCCAUUCUUCUGCAAUCAUGUCCACAAAUGCCAAAAUACACACGCUUACUCCCGACUUUUUUUUAAAGGAAGAAAAAUAAAUAAGAUCCCGAGUAUUUCCUACAGGGAAAUAAGAAGAUCAGGGAGGAAGCUGCAGAUGGAGCUAUUUCCUUUGCCGAUUUCCAACUGGCAAAAAGACAGCAGAGAAAAUGUGAGCACACCCAGCAAGUCAAGAAAGCCCUCAGGAAGAGCAGCUGAAGCCAGAACCUCCCUGAUGUCUUAGAGCUUCCAAAUACUCAGUACAAAACCUUCAAGUGCUUAGGAGGUAGAGCCUCAUUUCAAGGUUCCAUCCUUUCAAUUCCACAUUGAGGUUGUUUGGGGUGAUGGCUUCACCUCUUCUGAUCCUCUUUUGGGUUAUGAGGUUGUAUGACUCCCUCAUAGACAGUAAGUAUUAGCAGGGCGCUCUGAGUAUGUCAGGCUCCAUUCCAUAUCUAGCACCCAGGAUAUGUAGGUCACUGCAUACGGUGCUAUGGAGAAGGAAGUACACAGGACUUGGAUAACUUUUACUCAGCUCUCAGUGUGCUUAUAGUCUGAGAAGGGAACAUGAUGGGAGGCCAGUGACUAGAAUAAAAAGGGACCUCCUUUCUUACCUGUGCUUUGG
rnacentral:lncRNA from 1 species